rnacentral:tRNA from 1 species
UCCCUGGUGGCUCAGACGGUAAAGAACCUACCUGCAGUAUAGGAGACCCGGGUUCAAUCCCUGGGUGGGGAA